rnacentral:lncRNA from 1 species
CUUCAAGCUUUCUCCAAAUUUCUUCGGGUAGAAUUCCUGUAAAUGAGAGGAACAUCCACAUGUUUAGAGUCUCAACAUGGGCAAUAUUUGCUAGCAAUAAAAUAUAAAAAUUAAUUCAAGAACCAUGCAAGAGCCUAGGUUUUACUAUCAUUUUGACACCGUAAUAUCCAAGAAUACCACGAGUUGGUGCAUUAUUCUAGCAUAACCAAAUUAGAAAGGGAUAAUUAAUUUGGUGCCCUUAGUUGUGUCCCACUCGACAGGUUUACCCCUAGUUUCCAAAAACACUUGUUCCUGCCCAAACCACUUUGCUCCUCUUAUGCUUUUGCCCUUUCACCAUUUGACCAUCACUUUGAAAUCUUCAUAAAAAAUUCAUACUAACUCCGAAAAAUUCAAAUAAGAUAUCAAAAUGUUCAGAAAAGCAUCACCUAUAUGUGCAUGUCAUUUGCAUUCAUGAAAAAAGUGUUGGCCAGUCCCCAUCUUAGUUCUAGCUCAUAUGACCUUAGCAUGAAUAGUAAAAUCUAAAACAAUUCUAAAAAUUAUAAAAAAAUUGGUGGCAAACUUUGACCAAUAUUUUUAGUGAUUGCCAAGUUUCAUAAGGGAAUGACAUUCAUGGAAGUCGUGGCAAAAAAAUAAAAAUCAAUGCUCCAAAAUUUAAUUUUUGUGCCACGACUUCCACGAAUGUCAUUCCCUUAUGAAACUUGGCAAGCACUCAAAACAUUGGUCAAAGUUUGCCACCAAUUUGUUUUUUAGAAUUUUUAGAAUUUUUUUAGAUUUUACUAUUCAUGGUAAGGUCAUAUGAGCUAAAAAUAAGAUGGGGACCAGCCAACACUUUUUUCAUGAAUGAAAAUGGCAUGCACAUAUAGGUGAUGCUUUUCUGAACAUUUUGAUAUCUUAUUUGAAUUUUUCUGAGUUAGUAUGAAUUUUUUGUGAAGUUUUCAAAGUGAUGGCCAAAUGGUCAAAGGGAAAAAGCAUAAGAGGAGCAAAGUGGUUUGGGCAGGAACAAGUGUAUUCGGAAACUAGGGGUAAACCUGCCGAGUGUGACCCAACUAGGGGCACAAAAUCAAUUAUCCCAAUUAGAAACAUCCCUUGUUGUUCUAUUUUAACCUUACUACUACCUCCGUUCCUAAAUAUAUGAGAUCUUGGUUCAUUUCAGUAAUAUAGAAAGAGGGGUGAUGGGGCACAGAACCUUGAGCCAUUGUUGUGGGGUUGUGGCUGAUGAAGGUUACCUUUUGGGGCCCCAACGGCAGCUCCGCCAGAUGCAACAGCAACACCUCCAACAACCACAACAACAGCAGGAGCAGCACCAAUAAUGACCUACGUGGGAUUUCAAAUCAUCAUUACAGAAGAAAAAAUUAAGAAACAAGCAACCAAUAUGGCUUCAGCAUUACAUGUACAGAUUUUAGCUUUUUCUACCUAAGUACAAAUAGCAAAAUGGAACAUAGGCAGGUUGAUUAUAUUUGACAGAGCUAACUGAACAAAAAAGAGAACAUAGCGA